rnacentral:rRNA from 1 species
UACAGAGGGUGCAAGCGUUAAUCGGAAUUACUGGGCGUAAAGCGCGCGUAGGUGGUUUGUUAAGUUGGAUGUGAAAUCCCCGGGCUCAACCUGGGAACUGCAUUCAAAACUGACAAGCUAGAGUAUGGUAGAGGGUGGUGGAAUUUCCUGUGUAGCGGUGAAAUGCGUAGAUAUAGGAAGGAACACCAGUGGCGAAGGCGGCAUCCUGGACCGGCAUUGACGCUGAGGCGCGAAAGCUAGGGUAGCAAACGGG